AACCUUUAAAGGUGAGAGCUGCUGAGAAAGAUCAGACAGCAAGGUUGGAGGAGAUUCAAGUAAAGGUGGAACCUUUAAAGGAGGUAGCUGCUGAAGAAGGUCAGACAGCAAGGUUGGAGGUUCAUGAAGCCAAGGGCGUGAUCUAUAGUCUAAGAAAAGGGAAGAACGAGUUGUAUCAGCUUGUGGAGAGGCUGAGAGAAGUAGAAUCAGAGUUGAGUAUGGUGAAAACUCAUACAGCAAGUCCGAGUUGGUAUCAAGGAAGGAGGAAGCAAGAUGUGAUCUUUGGCUUUCUUAUGGGAGAGAUUUGUGAGCUAGUUGAACACAUGUGUGAUGUGUGGGAGAUAAACAAGAAGCCAGAUAGAUGGAAGAGAGGUACAAGCUGCAAGAAGGGAAAGUUGAGAAAACUUUCUAAGAUGUGGGUCAUGAUGAGCAGAUUAUGGAGAAAGGAUAUCAAGGAGAGUAUGCAAGUAGGAGAAUGCUUGUACUCAGCUUACAUUGGAGAAUCUGUAGAGAGCAGUGGGGUUAUGAGGAAGCUAGAGACCAAAGGAGCGGAUGAGCCUGUCACAAAGGAGGAAUGGGAUGAGUUUGUCAAGUAUGUGUAUGCUUUGGCUACGACCCGGAGACAAGGUGCUCCUGCCAAAGCAUCCACAUCCAACAAACCCAUCAUUGUUGAUUCUGGAGCAAGUCAUCACAUGAUUAGUGACAGAAGCUUAAUGAGUGAUGUAAAGAAAGCUACUGGGGGUGUGAUGAUAGCUAAUGGUGAUAGGAUUCCAAUAGAAGGAGUUGGAAAGCUCAAGCUAUUUGAUAAAGACUCAGAUGCCUUCUACAUGCCACAGUUUGCUUCAAAUCUUCUAUCUGUGAGGAAAGCCACAAUUGAUCUUGGCUGUCAAGUAGUAUUCAGGCCAGAUGAUGUUGAGUUCCAAGAUUUGAAGACUGGAAAGGUCAUUGGGAGAGGAGACAGCAAGAAUAAUCUAUACCAGCUCCAAUUGGCUAAGAUCUCUAAACCCUUUGAUUCUAUGUGUUUGAGCAGUACUUAUGAAAAGAUUGAUAGUAUUACUUGGCAUGCUAGAUUGGGACAUCCUCACGCUCGUGCUAUUGAAUUGAUAAUUCCUAAUAUGUCAUUUAAUCACUUGGAGUGUGAAGCAUGCAUAUUAGGAAAGCAUUGUAGGACUGUUUUUCCAACAUCAGAAACUACUUAUGAGCAUUGCUUUGAUCUAGUUCAUUCAGAUGUGUGGACUGCUCCUUGUUUGUCUAGAGAUAGCCAGAAGUACUUUGUGACAUUCAUUGAUGAGAAGUCUAAGUAUACUUGGCUUACAUUGCUUCCAUCUAAAGAUAGGGUGCUAGAAGCAUUUAUGAACUUCCAAGCAUAUGUAUCUAAUCAAUACAAUGCUACUGUGAAGGUACUGAGAUCAGAUAAUGGAGGUGAAUACAUCAGCAAUGCCUUCAAGAGUCAUCUAGCCAAGCAUGGGAUUGUGCAUCAGACUAGCUGCCCUUAUACACCACAGCAGAAUGGUGUAGCUGAGAGGAAGAACAGGCACUUGAUGGAGGUUGCUAGAUCGAUGAUGUUUCAUGCAAAUGUCCCAAAACGUUUUUGGAGUGAUGCUGUGCAGACUGCUUGCUAUCUCAUCAACCGGGUUCCAACCAAGAUAUUGAAGAAUCUGUCUCCAUUUGAGGUAUUGAACAAGAGCAAACCUGUCAUUGAUCAUCUACGUGUAUUUGGGUGUGUGUGCUAUGUCAUGGUUCCAGGAGAGCAGAGAAACAAGCUGGAGGCAAAGAGUACUAAGGCUAUGUUCAUUGGUUACUCUAUCACUCAGAAGGGGCACAAGUGCUAUGAUCCUGAAGCAAGGAGAGUGAUGGUAUCUAGAGAAGUGAAGUUUGUUGAAACAAAAGGUUAUUAUGAAGAAAAGGAGUGGGAAAAUCUGAGGGAUUUGUCUCAAGCUCCAUCUGAUAAGGCAACAAUACUGAGAGUGUUGUUAGAGAAGCUUGUGAUAGGAUUAUCCCAGGAUCAGGAAACCGGAAGGAGAGAGUCUUCCAAUCAGAGUGGUGGAGCUGGAAAAACAACUCCUCUUGAUCAUGAGAGGCGGAAUGGAACUGAAUCUGGUGAGCAAGAGCAAAACCAAGAGGAUUCAGGUCUUCAUGAUCAAGAUACAUCACAAGAAGUUGAGAACAAUGAGGUUCAGUCUAGUGGAGAAGUGGAUGAGGUUCAGUCUAGUGUAGAAGAACAAGUCAGACCGGCCAGUUCAGAAGAAGAGCAAGUGGAGCCGGCUAGUGUGCAAACUGAAGAUCACGUUCAAGCUUUGAGGAGGAGCACAAGGAUAAAGAGGGAUCCUUCCAACUGGGUAAACACGAGAGUGUACUACAAUGCCCAGGCUGUGGAGCAUCCUUCUCAAGCCGUGUGUUCCUUUGCUGAGUUUCCAGAGGAGCAUUAUGCCUUUAUGAUUAGUCUGGAUGAGAGUUAUGUACCAAGGACUUAUGAAGAAGCUAUGUUAGACAAGGAGUGGAAAGAAUCAGUGGGAGCUGAAGUAGGUGCUAUGAUCAAAAAUGAUACAUGGUAUGAGAGUGAGCUGCCUAAGGGAAAGAAGGCUGUAUAAAUGAUACAUGGUAUGAGAGUGAGCUGCCUAAGGGAAAGAGGGCUGUAUCUAGUAGAUGGAUCUUCACAAUCAAGUAUCUAGCAAAUGGACAGAUUGAUAGGAAGAAGACCAGAUUGGUUGCAAGAGGAUUUACACAGACCUAUGGAGAGGAUUACAUUGAUACAUUUGCACCAGUAGCUAAGCUACAUACAGUUCGGAUUGUGUUGUCCAUUGCAACAAACUUGGAGUGGGAUUUGUGGCAGAUGGAUGUGAAGAAUGCUUUCUUACAAGGUGAGCUAGAAGAUGAGGUAUACAUGCUUCCUCCUCCUGGUCUUGAGCAUCUAGUAAAGCCAGGGAAUGUUUUGAGAUUGAAGAAGGCAAUAUAUGGGCUGAAACAAUCACCUAGAGCUUGGUACAGGAAGCUGAGUACAACACUCAAUGGGAGAGGCUUUAGGAAGUCUGAAUUAGAUCACACUCUCUUCACCUUGACAGGACCUUCAGGGAUCAUUGUGAUUCUAGUGUAUGUGGAUGACUUGAUUAUCACAGGGAGUGAUAAGGCAGGGAUUCAAGCUACUAAGGAGUUUCUUAAAUCUGUGUUUGACAUCAAGGAUUUGGGAGAGAUGAAGUAUUUUCUGGGCAUUGAGAUAUGCAGAUCAAAGGAGGGUUUGUUUAUGUCUCAAAGGAAGUAUACUAUGGAUAUGUUGAAGGAGACUGAUGUGCUUGGAGGAAAGAUAGCCAACACACCCCUAGAGGAGGGAUAUAAGGUUCUGCGUGAGGGGGAGGUUGAAGAGAAGCAGCUAUUUGAGGAUCCUAAGCUAUACAGGAAGAUGGUUGGCAAGCUGAUCUACUUGACCAUUACUAGGCCAGAUAUAUGCUUUGCGGUGAAUCAAGUGAGUCAGCAUAUGCAGGCGCCAAAGGUCCAUCAUUGGAAGAUGGUUGAUAGGAUACUAAGGUAUCUGAGUGGGACGGCUGGAUGGGCUGUAAUGGCAGUACAGAAGUGGUUGGGUAUUGUGAUGCUGAUUGGGCAGGAGAUAGAGUGGACAGGAGAUCAACUACUGGGUAUUGUACAUUCAUUGGAGGGAACUUGGUUACUUGGAAGAGUAAGAAGCAGAAGGUUAUCUCUUGUUCAAGUGCUGAAGCUGAGUAUAGAGCCAUGUUGAAGCUGACAAACGAGUUGGUGUGGAUCAAGGGGAUCUUGAAGCAUCUAGAGAUUGAGCAGAGUACUCCUAUGACUAUGCAUUGUGACAAUCAAGCAGCUAUCCACAUUGCCUCCAACUCAGUGUUUCACGAGAGAACAAAGCACAUAGAGGUGGAUUGUCAUAAGGUGAGGCAGAUGAUUAUCUUAGGAGUGAUUCUGCCAUGUUAUACAAGGAGUGAAGAUCAGCUUGCAGAUGUGUUCACUAAGGCAGCAAGAUUGAAGACAAUGGAGUCCAUACUAUCCAGGCUUGGACUCAUUGAUCUUACUCCUAGGAGCUGAGCCCCUUGACCAUGGAGUCUCCACUCUUUUUCCCUCAUCAAAGUUUUAUCCCAAUGGGUUUUCUUUGGUGAGGUUUUUAAUGAGGGAGGUCUUCAUGGUUUCCAAGCUUGACUUGUUCCACAUGGUCAAGCUUGAGGGGGAGUGUUGAGAUGAGAGGAUAGAGAGAAGAUACAUUGAUAGAGGAAGAGUAUUUGGGCUGUCAGUUGUUAAGUUGGUGAUCAGGAAGUGUUAACUUUAGAAUUUUACUGUGGUAACUUUAUUUUAACCACAGUAACUACUUGGGGAAGUUAUCUGAUGGGAUGAGAAGGUAACUUAGUGAAGAGAGGAGGGUAAACUCGACCAAAGAGGAUAAGGGAGGAUAAGGAAGGAUAAGGGAGCACUUUGACAGCCUGUAUGAUGCUGGAAAGGAGAGGAUGCUUUUACACUAGUGCAAGCAUGUGAGAAAGCACAGCCAAGUGAUUUAAAAGGAGUUCCAGCCUGUCCUUUGACUCCACAUGCUUAUGGAUUUCGAAAUUCACUUAAUCAGCCUUAUCUCUUCUUAUAUAGUUUGUAUCUGAUACAUUAAAUCAUUUUAAUGGAGUUUUGAGUCUCUCUCUCUUGUUCUUAUUCUCUCUAGAACUCUUAAUCUCCUAAACAUUAUACAAAUCACACAGAUUAAUUAUUAAACACACUACAAACACAAAAGUGUUUAUGGUAUCAGAGCCAGGUUCCGCAAAGGGGAGAGUGUGUUUGAUUAUGAUUUUCGAAAUCAGAGUUUCUUGAGGUGUUCUUGAGGUGUUCUUGGUGUUCUUGAUGUGUUCUUGGUGUUUUUUGGUGUGCUUGAGAUCGAAUUGAGUCGGUGGAGAGUUUCUGAUGCAUUCAAACGAGUUAAGCAUGGUGGAGGAGAUAAGAUCAAGAAGUGAAGAGAAGAAAGAGAGAGAAAACGAGUGUGCUUGGUCAAGCUGGAUAAAGACAGCUUUUGAAAGCUGUGGGAUUUGGAGUAAUCAUGAAAAGGAAGAACCUUUAAAGGUGAGAGCUGCUGAGAAAGAUCAGACAGCAAGGUUGGAGGAGAUUCAAGUAAAGGUGGAACCUUUAAAGGAGGUAGCUGCUGAAGAAGGUCAGACAGCAAGGUUGGAGGUUCAUGAAGCCAAGGGCGUGAUCUAUAGUCUAAGAAAAGGGAAGAACGAGUUGUAUCAGCUUGUGGAGAGGCUGAGAGAAGUUGAAUCAGAGUUGAGUAUGGUGAAAACUCAUACAGCAAGUCCGAGUUGGUAUCAAGGAAGGAGGAAGCAAGAUGUGAUCUUUGGCUUUCUUAUGGGAGAGAUUUGUGAGCUAGUUGAACACAUGUGUGAUGUGUGGGAGAUAAACAAGAAGCCAGAUAGA
rnacentral:lncRNA from 1 species